rnacentral:rRNA from 1 species
UACAGAGGUGGCAAGCGUUGUUCGGAAUUACUGGGCGUAAAGCGUGCGUAGACGGUUAUUUAAGUCGGGUGUGAAAGCCCCGGGCUCAACCUGGGAAUUGCAUUCGAGACUGAAUAGCUAGGGUACGGUAGAGGGAAGUGGAAUUUCCGGUGUAGCGGUGAAAUGCGUAGAUAUCGGAAGGAACAUCAGUGGCGAAAGCGACUCCUGGACCAGUACCGACGUUCAGGCACGAAAGCGUGGGGAGCAAACAGG